AUACAUAGGGUGCGAGCGUUAAUCGGAAUUACUGGGCGUAAAGGGUGCGUAGGCGGCUUGAUAAGUCGGAUGUGAAAGCCCCGGGCUUAACCUGGGAAUUGCAUUCGAUACUGUCAGACUAGAGUAUGUCAGAGGUUGGCGGAAUUCCUGGUGUAGCGGUGAAAUGCGUAGAUAUCAGGAGGAACACCAGUGGCGAAGGCGGCUAACUGGGACAAUACUGACGCUGAGGCACGAAAGCGUGGGGAGCAAACAGGAUUAGAAACCCUAGUAGUCC
rnacentral:rRNA from 1 species